ensembl:lncRNA
ACCCCAAAGAAACUGUCAGAAACGAGAAGCAUCGUUUAAAUAAAUACAGAUGACAACAACAGUGUGGAAAAGAAGCAUAAACAGAAUUUGUUACGCUUUUAUUUUCUAGAAUGCUACAACUGAGAAAUUCCUGCAAGGAAAAGCAGGUCUGGGCAGCCACCACAGGUGCUUCAUUAAUCUGUUGCAACUGACACUUACAGAUUGACGCUUAACGUACUGCCAUGAGUGGAUGAUUACAAUCCCCAUACCCUGAAGGGCAUUUUCAUCAACUACAGUAUUCCUGUGCUGCUGUCAUGUACCAGUGUUUGGAUGGAAAACAUGGGGAUCUGGUGCAGUCUGAGAGCCUUCAGAGCACAUUCUGCCCAUCUCCCAAAUCAAGGAGAAAUUGCAAAAGCAUCUGUGGAGGUGUAUUUAAUUCUCUCCACUACAUUCGGUUACUUCUUUAUGAAUAAUCAAGAAUGGAAAAGAUGUAAAGAUUGGACUCUGAAGUAAACAGAAAGCUUACUCAACUCAUACCACGACACUCAUUAGGACAGGUGUUUGAAAUACGCCUGCAAUGCUUGCUUUCUCUUGAAGAUGGACUGCACUGAGCUGCCUGGAGGAAUGAAACCUGCUUGUCCUGGCUUUUCUCAGUGUACUUUGAAAGACGUGGGAGGGGGACAUCAGGGUGCUCAGAUCUGAGUACCUUCCCUUGUUAGUGCUGUAAGUUCUUUCUUAGCAGAGGAAACUGUGACCAAGUGAAUAUAUGUCAUUAUCUCAAAUGAAACAUGAUUGUAUUUCCUAUUUUUUCUAACAGCACAGAGGUCAUUCUAGACAUUUCCAAUCCUGUAAGUUCAUCAAUUUCAUCAGUUCUGACCUUUCCUUCAUUUUUUGUUACUGCAGCUGUAUCUCAGCUUAGGCUAGCGGAUGCUUCACUUGUCAUUUUUGUCCCUGACCCGUGGAGACAGCUGAGAUCCAGGCACUCAAAAACCCAGCACGGACGUGCACUCUGCUGUUCAAGCUGGUUCCAGGCAUACAAGGAUAUAAGCAUGAAAAUGAUACUGUUCUAUACAUACCUGUUACCAAAAAGUAAUCUCAAUCAUCUUUGAACUGGUGAC